CAUGCAGUCGAACGAGUUCUGAUUAUUGAAAGGUGCUUGCAUCUUGAUUUAAUUUUGAACGAGUGGCGGACGGGUGAGUAACACGUGGGUAACCUGCCCUUAAGUGGGGGAUAACAUUUGGAAACAGAUGCUAAUACCGCAUAAAUCCAAGAACCGCAUGGUUCUUGGCUGAAAGAUGGCGUAAGCUAUCGCUUUUGGAUGGACCCGCGGCGUAUUAGCUAGUUGGUGAGGUAACGGCUCACCAAGGCAAUGAUACGUAGCCGAACUGAGAGGUUGAUCGGCCACAUUGGGACUGAGACACGGCCCAAACUCCUACGGGAGGCAGCAGUAGGGAAUCUUCCACAAUGGACGCAAGUCUGAUGGAGCAACGCCGCGUGAGUGAAGAAGGCUUUCGGGUCGUAAAACUCUGUUGUUGGAGAAGAAUGGUCGGCAGAGUAACUGUUGUCGGCGUGACGGUAUCCAACCAGAAAGCCACGGCUAACUACGUGCCAGCAGCCGCGGUAAUACGUAGGUGGCAAGCGUUAUCCGGAUUUAUUGGGCGUAAAGCGAGCGCAGGCGGUUUUUUAAGUCUGAUGUGAAAGCCCUCGGCUUAACCGAGGAAGUGCAUCGGAAACUGGGAAACUUGAGUGCAGAAGAGGACAGUGGAACUCCAUGUGUAGCGGUGAAAUGCGUAGAUAUAUGGAAGAACACCAGUGGCGAAGGCGGCUGUCUGGUCUGUAACUGACGCUGAGGCUCGAAAGCAUGGGUAGCGAACAGGAUUAGAUACCCUGGUAGUCCAUGCCGUAAACGAUGAAUGCUAGGUGUUGGAGGGUUUCCGCCCUUCAGUGCCGCAGCUAACGCAUUAAGCAUUCCGCCUGGGGAGUACGACCGCAAGGUUGAAACUCAAAGGAAUUGACGGGGGCCCGCACAAGCGGUGGAGCAUGUGGUUUAAUUCGAAGCAACGCGAAGAACCUUACCAGGUCUUGACAUCUUUUGAUCACCUGAGAGAUCAGGUUUCCCCUUCGGGGGCAAAAUGACAGGUGGUGCAUGGUUGUCGUCAGCUCGUGUCGUGAGAUGUUGGGUUAAGUCCCGCAACGAGCGCAACCCUUAUGACUAGUUGCCAGCAUUUAGUUGGGCACUCUAGUAAGACUGCCGGUGACAAACCGGAGGAAGGUGGGGAUGACGUCAAAUCAUCAUGCCCCUUAUGACCUGGGCUACACACGUGCUACAAUGGAUGGUACAACGAGUUGCGAGACCGCGAGGUCAAGCUAAUCUCUUAAAGCCAUUCUCAGUUCGGACUGUAGGCUGCAACUCGCCUACACGAAGUCGGAAUCGCUAGUAAUCGCGGAUCAGCACGCCGCGGUGAAUACGUUCCCGGGCCUUGUACACACCGCCCGUCACACCAUGAGAGUUUGUAACACCCGAAGCCGGUGGCGUAACCCUUUUAGGGAGCGAGCCGUUUAAGUGAC
rnacentral:rRNA from 1 species